UUUUUGGCCAUUUUGGUGCCGUUUGGUGACAUUUUGGUGACAUUUUGGUGCCAUUUGGUGGCCGUGUCCCCCCAGGUGGUGAUCCCGGCCAUCUCCUGCCUCUUCUUCCACUUCUUCUGGGAACUCUCCCGAGUUCCCGACUCCGGAGCCUCCCCGGCGGAUCUGCGGGAUCUGCGCUCCCGGGCUCUCCUGCUGCUCUCCCUGUGCUCCCAAAUCCCCUAAACCCCCCAAAUCCCACCCCAAAUUCCCAAUUUUUCUCCCCAAAUCCCCAAAUUUUCCCCCAAAAUUCCCAAAUUUCCUCCCAAAUUCCCGGAAUUCCCAUUUUUCCAGGCGGAUUUGCGGGACCUGCGCUCCCGGGCUCUCCUGCUGCUCUCCCUGUGCCAGAGCUGCCUCUCGGAGCCGGAGCCGGAGCUGCGCGAGAAGGCCCUGCAGGUUCUGCUGGAAUUGCUGCUGCUCCUGGGCCCGGGGCUGCCCCACGCGCGGCUCCGGCUCAGGGCGGAGGCGGCGCUGGAGGCUCAGGUGGGGCUGGCGCUGCUCGACACCGUCUUCCUGCCCCGGGAGGACAACGAGACACAAGGUGAGACAUGGGAAUUGUUUGGGAUUUUUGGGAAGUUUUUGGGAUUUUUUCUGUUUUUUUUUUUUUAUUUUUUUCUGAUUUUUUCUGAAUUUUUUCCGAUUUUUUCUUAAUUUUUUCAGAUUCUUUUCCUUAUUUUUUCUGAUUUUUUUUCUGAUUUUUUUCUAAUUUUUUUCGUAUUUUUCUCGGAUUUUUUUGUGAAUUUUUUUCUGAAUUUUUUUGGAAUUUUUUGGGAUGUUUUCGGAUUUUUUUCCUGAUUUUUUCUGAUUUUUUUGGAAUUUUUUUGGAUUUUUUCAGAUUUUUUCUGAAUUUUUUCGAAAUUUUUUUCAGAUGUUUUCAGAAUUUUUUUUUUUUUUAUUUUUUCUGAUUUUUUUCUGAUUUUUUUCUGAAUUUUUUCUGAUUUUUUUCUGAAUUGUUUUGGAUUUUUUUCGGAUUUUUUUCGGAUUUUUUUCAGAUUUUUCUUUAAUUUUUUCAGGUUUUUUUCAGAUUUUUCCCUGAUUUUUUGCUGGUUUUUUCACAGAUUUAUGGCGA
rnacentral:lncRNA from 1 species